UUAGAGUUUGAUCAUGGCUCAGAAUCAACGCUGGCGGCGUGCCUCAGACAUGCAAGUCGAACGCGAAAGUUCCCUUCGGGGAGCAAGUAGAGUGGCGCACGGGUGAGUAACACGUAGGUAAUCUACCUUUGGAUGGGGAAUAACAACCGGAAACGGUUGCUAAUACCGCAUAAUGCAGCGGCACCUAAUGGUGACAGUUGUUAAAGCGGGGGAUCGUAAGACCUCGCGUCUAAAGAGGAGCCUGCGGCGGAUUAGCUUGUUGGUAAGGUAACGGCUUACCAAGGCGAUGAUCCGUAGCCGGCCUGAGAGGGCGGUCGGCCACACUGACACUGACAUACGGGUCAGACUCCUACGGGAGGCAGCAGUCGGGAAUUUUGGGCAAUGGGCGAAAGCCUGACCCAGCAACGCCGCGUGAAGGAUGAAAUCCCUCGGGAUGUAAACUUCGCAAGAACAGGAAGAAUAAGUAAGAGUUAAUAUCUCUUACGAUGACGGUACUGUUUGUAAGCUCCGGCUAACUCCGUGCCAGCAGCCGCGGUAAUACGGGGGGAGCAAGCGCUGUUCGGAUUUACUGGGCGUAAAGGGCGCGUAGGCGGCCACCGCAAGUCAGUUGUGAAAGCUCUGGGCUUAACCCAGAAAGGUCAACUGAUACUGCGGGGCUAGAGUGCAGAAGGGGCAACUGGAAUUCUCGGUGUAGCGGUGAAAUGCGUAGAUAUCGAGAGGAACACCUGCGGCGAAGGCGGGUUGCUGGGCUGACACUGACGCUGAGGCGCGAAAGCUUGGGGAGCGAACGGGAUUAGAUACCCCGGUAGUCCUAGCCUUAAACGAUGAAUGCUUGGUGUCUGGGGUUUUAUAGUCCCCGGGUGCCGUCGCUAAC
rnacentral:rRNA from 1 species